rnacentral:rRNA from 1 species
AGUGAACGCUGGCGGUAGGCCUAACACAUGCAAGUCGAACGGCAGCACAGUAAGAGCUUGCUCUUACGGGUGGCGAGUGGCGGACGGGUGAGGAAUACAUCGGAAUCUACUUUUUCGUGGGGGAUAACGUAGGGAAACUUACGCUAAUACCGCAUACGACCUACGGGUGAAAGCAGGGGAUCUUCGGACCUUUCGCGAUUGAAUGAGCCGAUGUCGGAUUAGCUAGUUGGCGGGGUAAAGGCCCACCAAGGCGACGAUCCGUAGCUGGUCUGAGAGGAUGAUCAGCCACACCGGAACUGAGACACGGUCCAGACUCCUACGGGAGGCAGCAGUGGGGAAUAUUGGACAAUGGGCGCAAGCCUGAUCCAGCCAUACCGCGUGGGUGAAGAAGGCCUUCGGGUUGUAAAGCCCUUUUGUUGGGAAAGAAAAGCAGCAGGUUAAUACCCCGCUGUUCUGACGGUACCCAAAGAAUAAGCACCGGCUAACUUCGUG